GGCUCAGGACGAACGCUGGCGGCGUGCUUAACACAUGCAAGUCGAACGAAGCACCUUGAUUUGAUUCUUCGGAUGAAGAUCUUGGUGACUGAGUGGCGGACGGGUGAGUAACGCGUGGGUAACCUGCCUCAUACAGGGGGAUAACAGUUAGAAAUGACUGCUAAUACCGCAUAAGACCACAGCACCGCAUGGUGCAGGGGUAAAAACUCCGGUGGUAUGAGAUGGACCCGCGUCUGAUUAGGUAGUUGGUGGGGUAACGGCCUACCAAGCCGACGAUCAGUAGCCGACCUGAGAGGGUGACCGGCCACAUUGGGACUGAGACACGGCCCAAACUCCUACGGGAGGCAGCAGUAGG
rnacentral:rRNA from 2 species